rnacentral:rRNA from 1 species
AGUGAACGCUGGCGGCGUGCUUAACACAUGCAAGUCGAACGAGAACGGAUUAUAGCUUGCUAUAAUUGUCAGCUAAGUGGCGCACGGGUGAGUAAUGUAUAGGUAAUAUGCCUCUUACUAAGGGAUAACAAAUGGAAACGUUUGCUAAUACCUUAUACUCCUUAUUAACAUAAGUUAAUAAGGGAAAGAUUUAUUGGUAAGAGAUUAGCCUGUAUUGUAUCAGUUAGUUGGUGGGGUAAUGGCUUACCAAGACUAUGACACAUAACUGGUUCGGGAGGACGAUCAGUCACACUGGAGAUGUGAGUCGGUCCAGACUCAUACGGGAGGCAGCAGUGGGGAAUAUUGCACAAUGGAGGAAAGUCUGAUGCAGCAACGCCGCGUGGAGGAUGAAACAUUUCGGUGCGUAAACUCCUUUUAUAUGAGAAGAUAAUGACGGUAUUAUAUGAAUAAGCACCGGCUAACUCCGUGCCAGCCGCCGCCGUAA